CUAGAAUAAAGCAGGCAGAAGUUGGAAGAACGUGACUGACUGAGUCUCCUGGCCUUCAUCUUUCUCCCAUGCUGGAUGCUUCCCAUCCUCAAACAUCAGACUCCAAGUUCUUCAGCUUUUGGACUCUUGGACCUACACUAGUGAUUUGCCAUGGGCUCUUAGGCCUUUGGCCACAGGCUGAAGGCUGCACUGCUGGCUUCCCUACUUUUGAGGUUUUGGAACUCAGACUGGCUUCCUUGUUCCUCACCUUGCAGAUGGCCUAUUGUGGGACUUUACCUUGUGAUCGUCUAAGAGGAAGAAAGAGAGCCUCAAACUGAGUGGCAGAUGUUAAGUCAG
rnacentral:lncRNA from 1 species